rnacentral:rRNA from 1 species
AUGUCACUCCAAGGCGGCAUUUCGGGAACAAGACGCGCUCGCUCGACAACAGCUGCUGCAAGUUGUUGCCGCUGCCUGCCUGCCUCUGCCGCCGCUCUUCUCUCUUCUCUCUGUUCUGUUUGCCACCGAUCCCAUUCCCUUGAUUUUCGUUCUGAAUUUUGUUUUCUUUCCUUGUUCUCUUCAUUCAGAUUAAAAAAAGAAGGAAAAAGAAAGAAGAAAAAGAGUUUGUCGUUGGGAGAUCAAGCAAGCAAGCAAAGGAAGAAGCAGAGUGUGCCGAGGAAGACGAAGAAGAGACAACUCCAAGUGGUGGUAGAAGGCGAGGACGCGGGGGAGGACGUUGUGGGAGCGGUAGGGUGGCGGCAUUGGCUUGGCGGAGGCGGCCACCAUGAGCGCCACCAUCUCCCGGACGCACCCGAUGAAGAAGCGGUAGGGCGGGCCCCUGAUCCCCUGCCGCGCGAAGUGCUCCUCCACGCGCCGCGGCCGCCACCACAGCACCUCCAUCAGCUUGGCCGCCACGUACGCCAGCGCCGCCGCCGCCGCCGCGAUCCACCACCAGCGCAUCAUCCGCACCAACAGCGCCGCUCAAUUCUAUGCUGGCAUGCAUCAACCAGUAACACCAUUAUGUUUGGAGCUGCUAGAGAGAUCACAUCAGAUGUGUUGGUUUGCAACAUUUGGUGCGUGCGUCCGUCCGCAUUGAAGGCACGUACAAGUAUGAAUGUGAAUGGAAUGCAUUCAUGA